rnacentral:rRNA from 1 species
GUGGGGAAUAUUGGACAAUGGGCGCAAGCCUGAUCCAGCCAUGCCGCGUGAGUGAUGAAGGCCUUAGGGUUGUAAAGCUCUUUCAGUGGGGACGAUAAUGACGGUACCCACAGAAGAAGCCCCGGCUAACUUCGUGCCAGCAGCCGCGGUAAUACGAAGGGGGCUAGCGUUGUUCGGAUUUACUGGGCGUAAAGCGCACGUAGGCGGUUUGUUAAGUCAGAGGUGAAAUCCCGGAGCUCAACUCCGGAACUGCCUUUGAUACUGGCAAGCUAGAGUCCGGAAGAGGUAAGUGGAACUCCUAGUGUAGAGGUGGAAUUCGUAGAUAUUAGGAAGAACACCAGUGGCGAAGGCGGCUUACUGGUCCGGAACUGACGCUGAGGUGCGAAAGCGUGGGGAGCAAACAGGAUUAGAUACCCUAGUAGUCC